rnacentral:ribozyme from 1 species
CCCAUCCCCCUCUGUAGAUAGGUCUGAAGGGUCUCACUGGGCCCAGGGGGCGCCUCCACCCGUAGGGUCUCAGGAGGGGGCGGCGCCAGUAGGGACCCCAGAAGGGACGCCAGUAGGGUCGGCCCCAG